rnacentral:misc_RNA from 1 species
UUUCCGUAGGUGAACCUGCGGAAGGAUCAUUAAUGAGUUGUCAUGGGGUUCGAUGCUGGCAGCCAAUUUUUGUCUUCAUGUGCUUGCUCUAACAAUCCUCUUCCAAACACCUGUGCACAUUUUUGAGGGAGUCUUGAGUUGGUUGCCGCUCUUGGGUGAUUUUCUCACAUUCCCUUAAAUCAUUAUACGCUAUUAACAAUGUUGAACGUGCUCUGUGCUACAAGGAUAUUAAUAUAAUACAACUUUUAACAACGGAUCUCUUGGUUCUC